rnacentral:rRNA from 1 species
ACGAACGCUGGCGGCGUGCCUAAUACAUGCAAGUUGAGCGCUGAAGGUUGGUACUUGUACCAACUGGAUGAGCAUCGAACGGGUGAGUAACGCGUGGGGAAUCUGCCUUUGAGCGGGGGACAACAUUUGGAAACGAAUGCUAAUACCGCAUAAAAACUUUAAACACAAGUUUUAAGUUUGAAAGAUGCAAUUGCAUCACUCAAAGAUGAUCCCGCGUUGUAUUAGCUAGUUGGUGAGGUAAAGGCUCACCAAGGCGAUGAUACAUAGCCGACCUGAGAGGGUGAUCGGCCACAUUGGGACUGAGACACGGCCCAAACUCCUACGGGAGGCAGCAGUAGGGAAUCUUCGGCAAUGGACGAAAGUCUGACCGAGCAACGCCGCGUGAGUGAAGAAGGUUUUCGGAUCGUAAAACUCUGUUGGUAGAGAAGAACGUUGGUGAGAGUGGAAAGCUCAUCAAGUGACGGUAACUACCCAGAAAGGGACGGCUAACUACGUG